rnacentral:rRNA from 1 species
GGUGAACGCUGGCGGCAUGCCUAACACAUGCAAGUCGAACGGCCGCACGGUGAGCGCUCUCCCUUACCGUUGGCGGCGGGCGGGCGGGUAACACGUACAUCACAUACCUCUUAUUCGUGGGUGACUACGGAGAGCCGCUGACCAUACCAGCUCAUACUACCUACCGCUUGAUUCAGUAGUGCAUCAUGCCUUUGCUAUCACUAAUAGACGGUCCCGCGCCGUAUUAGCUAGUUGGUAAGGUAACGGCCUACCAAGGCGACGAUCCGUAGCUGACCUGAGAGGAUGAUCAGCCACACUGGAACUGAGACACGGUCCAGACUCCUACGGGAGGCAGCAGUGGGGAAUAUUGGGCAAUGGGCGAAAGCCUGACGGAGCAACGCCGCGUGAGUGAAGAAGGUCUUCGGGUCGUAAAGCUCUGUUGUUGGGGAAGAACAAACGUGUGAGUAACUGUGCACGUUUUGACGGUACCUAAACAGAAAGCAACGGCUAACUACGUG